rnacentral:rRNA from 1 species
CCUACGGGAGGCAGCAGUAGGGAAUAUUGGACAAUGGGCGGUAGCCUGAUCCAGCAAUGCCGCGUGUGUGAAGAAGGCCUGCGGGUUGUAAAGCACUUUCAGUUGGGAAGAAAAGCGUUAGGCUAAUACCCUAAUGUAUUUGACGUUACCAACAGAAGAAGCACCGGCUAACUCUGUGCCAGCAGCCGCGGUAAUACAGAGGGUGCGAGCGUUAAUCGGAAUUACUGGGCGUAAAGCGUGCGUAGGCGGUUAAGUCAGUCGGAUGUGAAAGCCCAAGGCUUAACCUUGGAAUGCCAUUCGAUACUGCUUGGCUAGAGUACAGUAGAGGGAAGCGGAACUCUUAGUGUAGCGGUGAAAUGCGUAGAUAUUAGGAAGAACACCAGUGGCGAAGGCGGCUUCCUAAACUGAUACUGACGCUGAGGUACGAAAGCGUGGGGAGCAAACAGGAUUAGAUACCCUGGUAGUCCACGCCCUAAACGAUGAGAACUAGAUGUUGGGGGAAAUUGAUCC